UACGUAGGGUCCAAGCGUUGUCCGGAAUCACUGGGCGUAAAGAGUUCGUAGGCGGUCCGUCACGUCGGCUGUGAAAACCUGGGGCUCAACCCCGGGCCUGCAGCCGAUACGGGCGGACUAGAAUUCGGUAGGGGAGACUGGAAUUCCUGGUGUAGCGGUGAAAUGCGCAGAUAUCAGGAGGAACGCCGGUGGCGAAGACAGGUCGCUGGGCCGAUAUUGACGCUGAGGAGCGAAAGCGUGGGGAGCGAACGGG
rnacentral:rRNA from 1 species